GGAGAUUUCACAGCUUCCUUCCCCGUCUUGCGUUGCUGCUGCUCGCUGCUGCUGCUGCUGCUCGCUACUUCCUACUUGACAGAUUCAUUAUCAAGGAUUUGGACCUUGACGGUGUUGUAUCACCCUAAUAAAACAGGAGAACCUAAAAAAAAUACAAGGAACUGAGAAGACCUCCUACUGGGUCAGGAACAGACCAGGGGGAGGAAAACCCUUCCACGUCCAUUUUAUCUUGACAUGCAUGAGGCAACGGAGUGUAAGCCAUCUGUAACUCCUCCUGUACUCGUUGCCUCAUGCAUGUCAAGCCCCACCGUAUUCCCAGGUCUCUCAGGAAUUUCUCAUUCCAGCCCCAAUGACCCCCAAACACCAUCAGAUCCUGUUUCCCUCCCAAGCACAUCUAGUACAGCCUCAACAUCCUCACCUGAGGGUGGUUUAAUUUAGACAAGGAUGCAGCAUGAACUAACUACACUUCUGACCACAAACUUAUAAAGGAAAAG